rnacentral:rRNA from 1 species
AGGAUGAACGCUGGCGGUGUGCCUAAUACAUGCAAGUCGAACGGGAUCUUCGGAUCUAGUGGCGAACGGGUGAGUAACACGUUGGUACCUACCCCUAAGUGGGGAAUAACUGCCCGAAAGGGUGGCUAAUACCGCAUAAUCCCGCAAGGGUAAAGCAGUAAUGCGCUUAGGGAGGGGCCUGCGUCUGAUUAGCUAGUUGGUAGGGUAAAAGCCUACCAAGGCGACGAUCAGUAGCUGGAUCGAGAGGUUGACCAGCCACACUGGGACUGAGAUACGGCCCAGACUCCUACGGGAGGCAGCAGUAAGGAAUCUUCCACAAUGGAC